CCUACGGGUGGCAGCAGUGAGGAAUAUUGGUCAAUGGCCGAGAGGCUGAACCAGCCAAGUCGCGUGAGGGAAGACGGCCCUACGGGUUGUAAACCUCUUUUGUCGGGGAGCAAAGCGAACCACGUGUGGUUCAUUGAGAUUACCCGAAGAAAAAGCAUCGGCAAACUCCGUGCCAGCCGCCGCGGUAAUUCGGAGGAUGCGAGGGUUAUCCGGAUUUAUUGGGUUAAAGGGGUGCCCAGGCGGAGGUGCAAGUCAGCGGUAAAAUUGCGGGGCUCAACCCCGUACUGCCGUUGAAACUGGAGCCCUUGAGUGGGAGAGAAGUAGGCGGAAUGCGUGGUGUAGCGGUGAAAUGCAUAGAUAUCACGCAGAACUCCGAUUGCGAAGGCAGCAUACCGGCGCGCAACUGACGCUCAAGCACGAAAGCGUGGGUAUCGAACAGGAUUAGAUACCCGGGUAGUC
rnacentral:rRNA from 1 species